GCAAUGGUUUGCUUAUUGUGUGAAGGCAGGAGUUUGGCCAUAGGAUUGCAACUGUGCCUGUAUGUUUAAGUGACUGAGACUGUGGCAGACUGCUUGAGCAGAUAUUUCACUGCAGCACUGAAUGAAUGCCAUGGUGUCAGAGGGAAAUACAGUGACUGUUGUACUGUCAAAGGUUCAGUACUGAGGGAGUGCUACACUGUCAGUGGGUCAAUACUGGAGGAGUGCUGCACUGUUCGAGGGGCAGAUGUAUGGCUGUACUAUUGAUGGAAUAACCAUAGGCGUUGAAUGGAAUAAAACUAUCAGAAAAAUAUUACUCAGGUAAUUCCUGGUGGAGAGAACAAAAGAAAAAGAAUGGGUGGAAGGUG